rnacentral:misc_RNA from 1 species
CCAGGCAUCGAGCCCCCCUCCCUCCCCUCCUCCGAGCUCCGCACGCGCACACACCACCUCCCUCAUGCGCCGCGGUCGCGUGCGCUUCAACGCAGCACUCCCCGCCGGGCUGCGGUGGGGCUCUCCGGACGAGGAAUAGCGAGCGGCACGCAUGAGCCAACGCUCUCGUUUUGCGAAGCUUCCUUACCCAUCUGCGCACGGAUGGUGGAAUUCAGCCAGCCAUCAAAUAUCAGGAGCACGACCGCAAUGUUUUAUAAUUUUCAUGCAUCCAUAGGUGCAGCGGCAAGGGGCUGCGACCCCCUCGCUUGCCGCCACCUCGCUGAGUGCGGAGAGCAGCGGAGCUGGGACUCUACCUGCUGCGAAGACAACUCCAUCAUCGACGGCACGUCAAAGAAGUGUCAUUGUUGUUACGGGCUCGCUCUCCCGCCCUCAGGGCGGUCGACGCGGGCCCCAAAAUUGUGGAAGAGGACAUAUCGCGAGGUAUCUGGGCACAAGUGCUGGCGCUACUGUGGGCCCGCCGCGUGCGCCUCACAGUUCAGAUUGUCUCUGGUUACUGCGGAUUUUUAACACACGGAGAAGCUCCACGAGCAUGCAAAAUGGGCGAUGCCAGAGGCGCCGACGCCAACUGCAUGAAUUUCGGGACUGGCCACCAAUAUCAGAAGCCGCACUGGCAUCCGCCUGUUGCCCGGAAGACGGACGCCGCCGCUUCCGCCCUCGAGUAAGGGCCCUGGAUGCGGCCCGCUGCGAUUAAGGCGCGCUGCCCACCGCCGGGGCCGUCUGUCGGAUGCUGAUCGUGCAGCACGCAUGCAGGGGGGAGGAACGGGCAAGGACACGAAGCGCUCGCUAGGCGCACGGCCCCGAUUCGACGGCAGGACGGUUUUGCCCUCGCAGGACCGGGACGCAGACCUGGGGGGGGGUGCAGCGGAGGCGGGUGAGCAGUGGCUGCAUCUGCGUCUGUGUUGCUGACAUGUGUUCGUGGGCGGGAUCGGGGCAUACACGUUGGAGAAAUACAAAAAAAAGGAAGGGCCUUCCCAGCUUGUUUUUGUUCUCUCACGCUGUGUCGGCCUUGAACGUUUGCUAGUGUUGCUUCCGUGUGUGUGUGCGUGCGCGUACCGGUCUGCCUACGCGGGACCGCAGGGUGCCCUGUUGGGAAGAGCAAGAAAAAAAAACAGGAGAAAAGCUGGCCAUCCACGUCUGUGUUUCUACGCGGCCAUGUCUCUUGUGUCGGCGGCUAACACGACGACAUGCAGUGGCGCGCAGAGGGGAUGCAAGGAAAAGGGGCACAGCAGGUUGGUGCGCUUCAUGACAUUCCACAUUCUUCCGCUUCAGUGGCGUUGCACAAGGUUUCAAUGCGCGUACAAAUAUAUAGAAGCAUGUAUACGCAAAG